GACGAACGCUGGCGGCGUGCUUAACACAUGCAAGUCGAACGGAAAGGCCCUGCUUUUGUGGGGUGCUCGAGUGGCGAACGGGUGAGUAACACGUGAGUAACCUGCCCUUGACUUUGGGAUAACUUCAGGAAACUGGGGCUAAUACCGGAUAGGAGCUCCUGCUGCAUGGUGGGGGUUGGAAAGUUUCGGCGGUUGGGGAUGGACUCGCGGCUUAUCAGCUUGUUGGUGGGGUAGUGGCUUACCAAGGCUUUGACGGGUAGCCGGCCUGAGAGGGUGACCGGCCACCUUGGGACUGAGAUACGGCCCAGACUCCUACGGGAGGCAGCAGUGGGGAAUAUUGCACAAUGGGCGGAAGCCUGAUGCAGCAACGCCGCGUUCGUGAUGACGGCCUUCGGGUUGUAAACCGCUUUCGCCUGUGACGAAGCGUGAGUGACGGUAAUGGGUAAAGAAGCACCGGCUAACUACGUG
rnacentral:rRNA from 1 species